rnacentral:lncRNA from 1 species
CUAAUCCAGUUUCCACUAUUCAUGAACCGGUUUGGCUGAAAAUUUGGUUGAAAAAAAAACACUACUUGAGGAUAAAAAAGCAUACAAAAAAAGGCAUCAGUUGUCACUCAUAUUCUCUACUUCUUAACCCUAAUUGCCCUCUCUCGCGAUCAUACAAAGAAAAUCGAAAGAAUCUAAGGCAAUUGAGACAUAUACCAGUAAGUAUUAUCUUCCCUACUUCAAUUUCUUUGUCUUCUGUAUGUUGUUUCCAAUUUUUGGAGUUUUAUUGUUGAAUCUACAAUUUCUUUUAAUUUUUUUUGUUCGAUCUUUUAAGAAGUCAAACCCAAAAUACCUAAAGUAUAUUCCUUUGAUGUUCUUGUUGUGUAGUCUUCGUUUAGUUCUUCCUAUUGUGUUGAAAAUUCCAACUAAGCUCAUGUUUGUCGAUUUAUUUGUGUGUUAUGAUUAGUUUGGAAUGAUUUUGGACGGUUUUGGUUAGCUCUUGUUUGUUGAUUUUGUGAAUUUGGUAUUGUUAAGCCUUAAAAACAAUAUUUUUUUUUAACAAUUACAGAUUUCAAUUAUUUUUGUGUAAUAGAUGUAUGAGUAAUUGUAUUCAUAUACAUAUUGGUAUGUAAUUUUUUUUUUUUUGAUGGUUUGGGUUUUAUAUACUGAUAGAAAUCUAAAUUAUUAGCUAUAUAUUCUAACGUCAUAGAAAUAAACCAAGGAAAGCUUACUCUGCCAUGUUAACUAGAGCUCUAAAAGGA